UACGUAGGGUGCGAGCGUUGUCCGGAAUUACUGGGCGUAAAGAGUUCGUAGGCGGUUUGUCGCGUCGUUCGUGAAAACUUGGGGCUCAACCCCAAGCCUGCGGUCGAUACGGGCAGGCUCGAGUUCGGUAGGGGAGACUGGAAUUCCUGGUGUAGCGGUGAAAUGCGCAGAUAUCAGGAGGAACACCGGUGGCGAAGGCGGGUCUCUGGGUAGUAACUGACGCUGAGGAACGAAAGCGUGGGUAGCGAACAGG
rnacentral:rRNA from 1 species